GUUAACAUAUGAAGCGCAUCAGUCAUGAUUGCUAGACUAUUGGCGAUGUAUCCACCUUAAUGCAGAAGUUUAAAAGGAAGGGGAAAGUAUUAGGCACAUGAUACCUGAGGACCUUUUCAGACACAUUACACUGAGGCAAAAUCAAGUGUACACUCAACAGGGAUCCGCAGCCAGUUGUGUACUACUUUUGCCACAUUCAGACAUCAGAAAUGUACAUAAUAGUACAUAACAUUGGUAUUAUAAAUCAUGAAAAGGAGAAAAACAGAUGCAAAUACACACUCCAGAACUCCACAUGACUGCAUUUGGCAAUUUCACGUAAAGUUAAGUAGCAUCUGAGACAAGACGGCUUUUAUUAAUGGUUCCCUUUAUCUCCUUCAUCACAAACCCACACAUGCAAGCUUGAGCACUGCUUGAGAAUUAAAAAAAAACCACCCAGGUAGCCUUCAAAGCAGCCUGUGCUAGAACAUAAAGACCUGGGUGAGUGCAGGCAGAUGAGAGAACGCACAUGGUGCCAUACAAAUCCAGAAAGACAUCAUUCCUCAGAAUGAUGAUCCACACCGCUCUCUGCCUUUAAUCCACCUCUCUGGAAGUGCCUGGCUCAUGCACCAAGCGGCCUCCUUCUUUCUAAAUGUUUCCCAACAUCCUUAUGUAGUGGGUGAGAGACAGACUUCAAAUAGCCAUGCCAACCUCCCACUCAAUCAUAAGCCUGAUAUCUCCUGGCUGUCCUCAAUGAGCCAUGAAGGACAAAGGUUUAUCUCAUGGAUGGCUGAUCACAGGCUCCUUCAGAAGCCACUUAGAAUAUUCAGAACUCAGAAUAAUGGGAGUGGGGGGAUCGUGGGAAGGUCAUCCGUGCACAGCGUACUUUCUGUGAAGAUAGAGAGCUCAACGGUUAUUUAUCUGUCCAGAAGCUUGGCAGUUGAUCAGUCAACCACUUUAGGGCCUUCUUUGGUGAGCUCAAGUGCCUGAGGGUUUCUAGACCAUCAAAUUUCUCUCAUUUUUGCUAUUGGGCAAUUUUGCUUAAAUUCCAGUCCCACACAUGGUUCUAAAACCACCUUCAAGAAUGCAAGAAUGGUGCCUUAUAAAGCAACCCUGCCAAUAAAUUCAUGGAAUUGAA